AGUGGGAAGUGGUCAAAAAUUCCAACGCGGUCGUCUAAGUAUACGCAUCGGUGCGGCACUACAGUACUGUUGAGUGACUUGCAGUGUCUUUGACAAUUAGUGGAUCUUUCUCCCCUUCCGUUUUGUGUUCAAGUGGUAGUGGCAAUCGUGGCUACGCUCGUAUUGGAAAAACUUGAGAUUUCAUGCGGAAGUUGUGACUAGUUGGGUGAAGUAGCAAGUUGCUGCAUGAUCAAAAGAACCUUUCUUCCUUGGCACUUGUUGACCCACAAGAAAGGACCAAGAUGACAAGGUGGUAAAUCUAAACAAGUUGAAGGCAUUACUAGGCUGGCUUUGGAUGCACAACCGAGAAGGGUUGGAGCAGAUGAUCAGAUUUGCAACACACUAGAAAUAACAAUCGGAGGAUUUUUUACGACGAAUCUUACUCGACUACUGGUACUCUUUAGCAACCUCCCAGGUGGUCCACCUAAAAGAGUGAUUCUUUCUAGCUUGACUCAGUAGGAGCCUCAUCUACGCUAGAAGAUUCCUGCCACGCAGGGGAAGUUCAAUGGAGCAAAACAAUCUUUGACGUCCUCGACUUGGUGGUUUUUAGUUUCGUCUUUGCACUCUUGUUCUCAUUGAAGUGCUAGUGAUGAGCUUGGUCAAAUGAGUAUCAUCAAGAAUUUUCAAUCAAUUUAGGGAAACUGAAGAUGAGCAAAAGGGCAUCAAGUUGAGCUGGAUAAUUUGUGAAGAGAUAAUGUCACAAGACAGUCGUGGCUUGAGCCUCAGCAUUCAAACUGUGAAAAUUAUUUUUUGUUCAAUACCUUUGUGUGGAUCUAUUUCAACUUAGAGCAUUCUUGACGGAGGAGCUAAGGACUUGAAGAUUUUAUUCCAUGUAAAAAUAGGGCUAAGGAACGCAGAUUGAAUAAACAAUAGAUGUUGCAAUUAAAUUAUUAUCAGACAGCCUUCCUUGUCAUUUUUUCUUGUGCGGCGCAGCUGAGCAAGUGUGCCGAUGUAAUUGACUGAAGUUCAGAGGACCUUGGUCGUUCCUUUCGUCUUGUUCCAACGUGAAUCGUGGUUGUGAAGAGGAGGCUACCCUGGGCAUCAACCAGAGGGGUUGAAUUUCACCGAA